GUAAGAGCCAGACGGACCAAUCGAAGCCCGGCGGGCCCCAGACGUCCAAGCCGGUGGGCGUGGCAAAGGGAUGAGGGUGGGACGAUGCGGUGUUGCCAUGACGACGGCUUCCGGGAGGGCAGGUUGAGGUGACUUCCGGCCGGAAGGCGAGACUCCGCGGGAAAAGCGCCUCUGGUUGGUAGACCGUUAUAAAGUCAAGUUGUUUCCCUAAGAUGCAAACCUGACAAAAGUGAUUCAUACGUUUCCAGCCCAUGACACAGAUCUUUGCAACGUGCCCUGCUGUCCAACACACUCUAAAACUAAAGCUACUGAAAUAAGAAUUCAUCAUUUUGAAGAUACAAUUACUACUUCACUUUAACAAACAGAUGCAUCCCAUUCAAAACAACACGUACCACCCAACCAGGACAGUAGAAUCUCUUCUGAAAAUGCCCUCAAACCAUCUCACUUGGCUCAGGCUCCCAAACUGGAUGUGAAAUGAUGGGAAAAGAGAAAAGCAUGAGAGCAUUAGAAAAGGGAGGAAGAGGAAGACCGUCUUUUGGGCUGGAGUAGUCAUCAUGUUCAGAGAGGUUACAUCUCAGCACUUCUCAUCAUGGCCAAAAGGAAUGUUUCUGUUCAGCUGACUGUCAUGAGUUUCUUUUGUAAAGGAAAUGAUUUGGGGAAAGGGUUCAUAGCGGGAGUGAGAGAUUACAUUUAAAGAUAUAUUUCUUCUCCAAGUAAAAAUGAAGACAUUGACAGAGAUGUUUUUGUCCACUUAUUGAUUUAUACACUAUAUUUAAAAUUUUCCCAGAACUUCAAAGGAUGUGUUCCCUGGGGUUCAAAUAAAUUUGCAUCAGCAGCUUUGGUAUUGAUUAUUCAGAAAAAUACAGAAACCCUUUUCCUACUCCGUUAUUAGACUUGAGCAGUGACUUUACAGAGGGGUUCAUGCCCUAAUAUAAACAAUAUGGCCAAUAUUUAUUUGAUUUAUUAAAAAAAAAAAGAUCUGAAGAACUGUGCCUCUUUAUGCCUGGUUUCACUUACUACUAUAGAUUUUGAAGGCUCAAGCUAAAGUUGAAGCCGACCAGUUUGAAGAUCCUUUGCCUGUUCUUAUAAGUGGAGCUCUUUCAGGGUAAUUCCAGGGAGAUUUGCUGUAGGUAACAUUAGACAGACACUGAACAUAAUGUAGGAUGGAUGCAAACUGAAAGAGUGAUCUUGGGGAUCAUUCAACGUUGAAAAGCCUUUGAUUGUCUUGACUGGAGCUUCUUCUGGAAGAUGUACUGAAUGAGUCUGGGAUCAAGACCAAUUUCUCAGGUUUGAUGCAGUUGUAACAUGGAAAUCCACCAGAUUCUGCUAUGACUAAUUAGAGAUGUGUGAAGAGGGUUUCUCUUUUCCAACAUUAUUGAUUUUUCUUUCAAACCCCCCAGUUUCACACAGAAAAUCUCUGGCAUUUAAAAGUGUUCAAUUUAGUACAGUUCACUGAUGCAUGUAAUCUUUGCUAACUGCAUCCCAUUUUCUCUGAACUUGGUUUUUCAGGCCCUCUUAUGUUCCGGGUAUAUUUGAGAUUUACUUUAGGUUUUAAGUAAAAUCAAAGAUGCACCCAGGACAUCUGAACACUGAGAGGAUAAAUUUAAUAUUUGGAUUUUUUUUAGUUAGAAUUUUUUCCUUCCCUCCAUUGGAAAUAUAGGAAAUUAUCCAAGCCCAGAAAUAAAGAAGUAUAAUUUUAAAAAGUGGAUUCUACAGAAUCUAAGCUUACGAAUCAGUCAAGGGAUUUGUUUAUGUCUUCAAUCUCAUCUGUCCUGGAAAAAGUGAGAAAAUUAAGAUGGAUAAUAGCACCUGGAAAUUUACGACAUUGGGGAAAAAUCUGUGAUUGAAUAGCAUAACUCAGGUAUAAGCUAUGGCUCUUUGCCACCUCAACUCCUCUCUUCCCACUGCAUCUUUUAACAUUGCCUGAUAUCUCUUAGGCUAUUGUGGACAGAUAUCAUACCCUGUAACUUCUCAUUAAAGUCAGAGCCAUAUGCUGGCAUUUUAUGUUUUCUGCUCCUCUCAUAUGAGGAAAGAUGCUAGACAGAUGUAUCAGAUGAUAAACAUUGCAUAUUGAGAGUGAAGCCUUUUUCUCUUUGAAUUUAAGAUAAUGUAAUGUAUAAGAGUAUAUCUUUAAUUGAACAUUUUCUUCUCCUCUGUCAUAUGGGAACUUUUCUUUGUCCUCAGUUUUCUCUUCUCAAGAAAUAAAUUGUAGAAGACCUAGAGGAAAAAUUGUUUCACUGCUUUCUUGAACAGUCUUCCUUUUCAGGCCACCUGGUUUACAUUUCAGGUCAUUCCAACUAUUACCAUUAUUCUUACCUAUGCUUUAAACAUAAAUGUUAGAUUUUUUUUUCCCUCAAGCUCUGAGAAUCCCUCAGAGUGCCUUUUUUCCCC
rnacentral:lncRNA from 1 species